GUCAGUCUCGGUGGUGUAACGGUUGUUUGCAAGUUAGCUAACGUUAACUGACUGGAGCGUUUGUUGUUAACGUUACUUCUUCAGUUAGAGGCAGGAGCGAGGGCUCUAUGAAGUUGCCAGUUGUGUUUCCUGCAGAUGGUUGCACAGAUGAACAUGCACAGGUAUGUUGAUAGUAUUUAAGACCACAUUAUAAUAUAGAAUCAAAACAUAUAAGAUAAAAAAAAAAGGGUAGUUAAUUAUACUACUACCAAUAGCAUUUUAACCAAACUUCAAUACGUUUUAGCUUCACCCUCAGUAACCAAUCUUUGCCACUAGGUGGAGGCAGAUGCUCACUUAAACACUGCAGUCUGGGGGAUGCCUUUAUUGAUACAAAUCCGCCAUAACUCAAACCCUUGUGAAAAGCAAACUGGAGCAGAGUCUCGGGUUUGUAAUGAGGAGAAAUCACAAGUUGUAAUUAUAAUAGCCUGUUUUUAACUUACAUUUACAGAAGGUUCUCUAUUUAUCUGAAUUUAGCAAUUACAUUUUGUAUUGCAAUUGAGUUAAAUUACAUGUCUUUAUAAAUAGUAUAUUUUUCAAAUUAAUAUUGGUGUAGUCACCCCUCAGGUGAGGCCUUAUCAAUAAAUAUUUCUGGAGAGUAUAGUCUCCAGUCUAUUUGGUUUUAUGAGCUUUCAGCAACACUUACUUCUAAACUGAAGAGUGUCAACUGCAACUAUAAUUUCUCUUUUGGGGGUAGUUAUAAUGGGCAUUUUACUAUCAGACCUCAUUGUUUUUCUUAAAAAGGAAAAAAAAGGCAGCUAUAGAUCUAACAUAAUGAUGCUGACUGGUUAAUACCUCCUCUGUGUGCAGCGGAUCAUUCAGUGUAAUUUCUAAUUAACACGUUGCUAUUUACUCUGUUGGAUCAUUAGGCCUCAUCACAAAAGGAUAAUCCAGUCAAAUUAAGAGUUUAUGUUUCCCUUCCACCUUUCACCAUGGUGCUGUUUGUUAAUGAGUCAUGUUGCAAUUAUCUAACAAAUUAAGACAAAUGUUGCCUGUUUAGUCAAGAUAAAUCUAUUGAGCCAGGCUAUAGCAUCAACACAUAUAACGCAGAUAGAAAAGGAUUCAUCAUAAAUAUUUAUAGUAAAUUUAUUUCACAUUUGUACCCACAAAUUUAACAGAAAAUCAAUUUAGAUUUAUCAUGAUUUCUUAUAUAAUUUUUAGUUUGUGUUUAUCCUGAUUUUUAUAUAAUUUAUAGUUUGUGUUUAUCCUGACUUUGUUUUAUUUUAUUUAUUUUUUUUAUUCCUGAAAUUGUAUAUGAAAAUGCUACAUAUGACAAAUGAAAAUAAAUAAAUAUCAAAAAAUCCUACCAGAAUGAAAUAUUGUAAAGCCAGAAAGAGCCAGUGCAAAGUAGCCUGACUGAAAGAGCAAUAUUGUAAUGUUUGUGUUGCAUUGUUCAUUACAGUACACAUCUCUCCUCAAUACACAGUUAAGUGUCAGCGAACAGCUAUUGUUGUUAAUACACUUCCACUGUAGCCUAGCAGUUGGUUUAAACAAUAAAAGCUAAAGUAGCAUUGUCUGAUGCAGGCUGUAUCUGAUUCCUCCUUUUAAAAGUAAUACAAGAACUCCAGACUCAACGUAGAUGCUGUAGCAGACCUCUCCUUUCAUGAUGAAAGGAGGGAUGAACGGAGCAGAGAUGGAAGCUGUAACCUAUUUGUGAAGCAGAAUCAUUAGGACGGUUCUCCAACCAAUUUCCAUAAGUGGGGUAGCGGGAAGUAUUUAGGCUACUCGAAGUAUAUCACUAAUGAGAAAAGACAAAAAGGAUUCAUGUGCAUGUUUAAUGCAAUCUCUUUCUGGGUGUAGAUGAAUAAUUAUUUAUGAUUGCAAAGCCUAAAAGGGAGGCAAAAAGAUAGCAACUGCAAAGAGACUGGUAAAAAAUUUAAAGAGGAAGUUAAAUGAAUAUUUAACGGAAGAUGAAAUAUUUAAUGGAAACAAAUGAGCAAAACAUUUAAAAUGGCACGAUAAAUAGUAGUGAGUGCCAUUAAAGUGACCCUCAUAAUUUGUGCUAUUUGCUGCAGUAGCCAUAAGGUCUCAUUCAUACUCGUAAUAGUGUGAACUGAAGACUCUGACAAUUGUUUUCAACAUGCCAGUUAUCAUAUGAGGACAUUGUGUCUGUAACCCAGGGCUGACCUCAUAGCUGAGAAAUAUUAGCCUUUGAUUCAGUGUAGUUUGUAUUGAUGCCACGAGGCAGAAACAAUUCAUGUUUUAUUGACCUUCUUCAAGUUGAGGUUAGGGUCCUGGAAAAAAAACCCACAUUAUGACAUAAAUUCUGAAUAUGGUUGCAGUUAAUUUCUCCAGAGACAUUCUGCAUUAGUGUUUCUCAUAACAUCAGUGUUUCAGUCAGAUACUCUGCAGUACAGUUUUGUACAUUUUCACCUCCCAACACCAAAAGAAAAAAUAAGUCUCUAGUAUGUACCAGCACAGUUCAUUUGUUUUCCAAAUGCGAAAAUAAUUAAAUCAGCAAACAAAUAAUUAUUCAAGUCAAUGAGAACAAUUAUCUCAAAGACGCCUCUGAGACUUGGAUAUGCAUACUGAAUUGAUUAAUUAUCCUGCUAAAGAUAAUUGAGUUAGAUCUUUGACUGCUUCCUCUCAACAUACUCUCGCCUCCAUUUUGAUCUCAACAAGAAUCUCCACCAUCAUUUACAAUAUGCAGUCAUCAUGGACACAAUGCUCACCAUGGUGUAAUGACACGUGGAACCUUUUUAAAGAGAUGUAUUUUAUUUUUGUGGUCAUCUUUCUCUGCACUGCUCUACAUUAUUUCCUGGAUCAUAAGAAAAAAAAUCUAAAAACUUCCAUGGCUAGAAAUCACAGGCUUCUAAUCUCUUAAACUUCACGAACCUUAGGUUUGACAAUAUAUUCUAAUCUUUAUUAAAUUGCCUAUUAAAUGUAUUAAAAAUAUAGCAGAGUACUGACCUGCGUUCAUCUGUCUAAGUUCAACUUUGUCAGCGGCGCUGUGUCAUGCCCUUACUAACCCAUGGGCAGACUAUUACUUACCUCUGAGCCAGACAGAGAUCAUUACCUCUGUGAAUGAUGGCAAGGUAGCCCGAGCCCAACAGCUUUAUUUCCCAGUUCAACUCGGCGGACGCAGGCCAUCACAUCCUGUUAACAAUUCCAUGGCUCCACCAUAAAGAUAAGCUCUCUCAAUCGUCUCCGUCUGUCUCAAUCGCCACUGAAGGGCCAUCAGUCAUCUCUAGCUGGGACGGCAGCCCUCCAUAUUCACUUGUGAUUGACACCAUUUAGAUGAUUCACUCGGGAUCACUGGGCUGUUUAUUUCCUCUGCAGACCAGUGUGCUGUUGGGAGUUCAUGAGAUAUAUAUUUUUUUGAUAUCAACAUAUUCAGCUUCACGCAAUCAGUCUUUUUUUAUUCUGAGCAAAUAUUGGUCCUUUUCAUGUGUAAUCUUUCAAAUGCCGAGAUGAAUUAAGUCAGAGGCUUUGACAUUUUAAUCAGAGUGAACAUAAGAAGCCAAUUGUCACUGUCAGACCACAUGAAGGUCAUUUGAAUUGUUAAGGAUCUGCUACUUGCCAUAACAUUUAAUUGUUACAUCCUAAUGAUUCGUUUACAUGUGAGAUCAGGUUGAUAUUUUAUGUAUAAGCACACAUUCUAUUCAAGGCCUUUUAUUCUAUUAACCUGUCCUGUCUUUGUUAGAUCCUUUCUAAGAUAAUUCCCAUAUGGCUUAGCCUUUGAUAAAUAUGCUUUUAGGUCUUUCUAAUUAAUGCAUUCCGCUGUGAUUUUCUUCACUUGUCACCCACUCUUUAACCUCAUAGCGGAGGAACAGACUUUUCCUACUCAAAUUAAAGGUCCUCUGAGACGCUGUACAUGUGUGAGCUAAUGAUGUAGAGCGCUGUACAACCUGAUGUCUUAUCUUGAGGGCCUUGUGGAGAUGUUUUGAGUAGAAAUAAAUUAUAUGACCUCACUAUUAUUGAGUGUGGAUAUAUUCCAAGCAAACAUGUUUUUGUUUAUUGUGUCUGUUCUUAACCAAUACGUUUUUUGAUAGAGGUAUGCUUGUGUGUUACAAACAAAAUACUAAGCAGAUAUUUGCUUUGUGAUUGGGUUUUUCUUUUUAUAAUGGUUGACAUAUGAAGUUGAUUUGUACCAAGAGGCUUGCAUCUCUAUUAUAUUUGAACUGUAACUCUAAAUAUGAUUUUGAAUACUAGCAGAAAAUAUGCAAAUCAGAUAAAGCUACCUUGUUGAUUAAUGUGGGCACAGACCAGCAAAAGGAUGGCCUGGUGUUGAGACAGCAUUUCUGAAGGGACACAGGAGGAUAGGCCUCCACUACAGCUAAGUCUACUAUUUUGAAAUUAAUUAAAGCAAUUCAGCAUUUUUAAAUAUUCUAGUCAAUUUUUCCUUUUACUGCCAGCAUAAUUGCAGUUUCCAGCCAUGUGACCAAGGGACCAUUCAUAAGUAUAAUGAAUGGGAUACAGUAGUGAUAACCAUAGACUCUUUGCCAUUUUUGUUACUAAAUUUGUUUAACGAGAAAAAGGCCAGCUGUACUCUUAAGUUAUUACAAAACAAUAUGUUGCAUUAUGACUCUAACAUGGUAUAUCUUUUUUUAAAAAAACACACACACCAUGUUAUUAUUUGCAAUAGAGCUAUGUCAGGAACUCCAACAUUGUUUGAUUUAUCCAGCUGUCACCUGUUACUGCACAAUGUUACAAUGUGGCUUAACAGGAAAAAUGGCUUUAAAAAGUCACUAUAGGAUUUGUUGUCUGUUUCUAUAGCAACCAGGCCCAGGGUGCCUGGUGCUAAAGCUGAGUCUUUACAAAUAGUAAACAUAGUUUUUGUACACAUCAGGGGCAAAGGUUGUUAGGGAGAAACAGCUCAGGUUCCCGGGUGGUCAGUGACAAAUAAGACAAAUAAACAAGCCUUUUUAUUGAGUUUCAGAUCAUCCACAAUAAGCUGGAAGAUGGAGAGUUUCUUUUUUUUUUUUGUCCCAACCAGGCCACAAAGAAUUAGAUAUGUAAGUUUGAAGAAGUGUGCAGUUUACAGCAGUCCGAUACUGUCCGUGAUAAGAUAAAUUAGCUUUAAGAAUCUACUCUGUACUUGUAGAUCAUCAGACAACAAAAGCAGGAUAUGAUUAUGUGACUUCUUACAAACCUCAGUAUUAAGGCAGUUGCCUCUGUUUUACUUGUAGGGGCACCAACAUGUGAAAUUACAUACUGGAGUUUCAAAUAUAUUUAUGUCACAGUAGAAAUGAUGGUCUGCUUGAACUUUUCCUCAUCGCUGUCCAAAGAAGAGAGGUUGACAAUAACAGUGAAAUAAAAACAAAAAUCUGGAAGAUAUGUUAUGAUAAGCACAACAUUUAUUGUCUCAUCCUAUUAAAACUGAAGAUAUUCUACAGCAUAAAUACUGAAUACAUUUAUCUGUAGUAUUGUUAGGCGAGGUUAUGUUAUUUGGAGGAAGUUGAGAGUCAGUCGUGGUAAUAGUCAAAUCUGGGUCAUUUUUUAUUGUUACUGUUAAUACUAAGUAAUUAAAUGCUGCCUAGUUGAGUUCACACAGUCCACAUUUGAUGUUUACAGUAUCGUAUACAUCAAGGUACAGCACUAUUGAUACAAUAACAGUGAUUUUACCAUGGAAUCAGGUUCACUAAGGACACUCAUCUUAAAGACCACCACCCUACACCACUAACUCAGUAAAGAGCUAUCAUAUAUUUAGGCAAAAUACAAUUUUGACACUUGACUGAGCUAUCAAACAACCUUUAGUACACCCAUUGUCAAAAUGCCAAGAAUCUUCCAGAAUCAAAGAUUGAUCAACCCCUCAGCCGACAGAAAACUCUUUGAAGCAUCCUUUUAAUUAAAUGUGUCAAAGCCUACUGGUAACUGUCAGUGCAUGCAUCUUACAUCCAGUGAGUGAUGAGAAAAAGCAAAACUUAUAAUUACUUUUUCUGUCACUUUUUUAUGAUAAAUGUUUAAGUUACCAUCCACACAAAACAAUAAAUAUCAUGAACAAAAAGCUGCUGUUUUCCUACUCUGGCUUCAAACCCUCUAAAGAAUGUAUUCACCAUUACAGCCAAACAGUGUAACUACAAAAAUACUUUUCCUUGUCUUUUAAAAAGAUGAAAUAUUUUCUCUGCUAUGUAAUUCUCCUCUCUGUAUUUCGAGAGAUACUGACCUAAAAAGGUUGAUCAAAGACUGUUGGAACUCUACAGCCUGCAGCAAACAAUAAAUUGGUCCAUUCGAUGUUUUGCACUGACAAAUUAUUCUCCAGAGUACUAACAUUCUUGGUAGCAACUCAAUUAGCAAGAGACAGAUGUAGCAAGAUUUCACAUUUAUGUUUCAUAGACCUUUCAAUAUUUUAUUAUUUCAGUGCAUGUUGGCAUGAGCCUUUUUAUGUCACAGAAAUGAUAACUAUUUGCUAAUUCUCACAUAAAGUGAUAGUUGUUUUGGUGCGGACUGCAGUUGUGGGGAAACUGCACUCCCUUUAGGCUUUUACACAAUGUUGGAAUGGCCUUGAGCGUCCAUAUGCUUUAAAGUGGUUGUUAAAAGCCAACAUUUCGCAUUAUUGCUGAGGGGGGCCUGAUCCCGCUCACUGUCAAUGUAAAGAGAAAUGUCGACAAAGGAAAGUGAAAACAUCAUACCUAGAGAAAAAUCACUUAUUAAUGGAACCCUUUGUGAAGUUUAUAUAUUUAAACUUUAUGAGUUCAGUUCAUCGUCACGUGAUAGUUGUCUUGUUGAUAACUGACUAAAAGACCGCAAAAAUCCAUUCCCAUUAUUGCUGUUAGUUUCAGCAAAUAGUAUGACUUUUUCUGAUGAGAUGAUUUUUUAAAAUUUCAUCAUAUUAGUCUAGUAGUCAGAAUAGACUAUGAUGAAAGUGCUCAACCAUUAAUUGCCUGUAGGGAACUUGCUGUUGUCUUUAAAAAAACAAAACAAUUUUGCCAUCUACCUGUUCUUUUUUGCACAAGGGAAUAUAGACUGUCAUUAAUAUGCAUGGGUUCCUCUUGCCUGUUUGGGUGUUUGGUAUUAACCCUCAGAAAACACUGGUGACCUUUUGCACGAAACCAUAUGGUUAACAGUGAGCGAUCUCCCUGCUGUUCAAGCAUCAUUUACCUCAGAAAGACACGAAAACGGAGAGAUUCACAGCACAACUCAAUGAAGAUUGGUAAAAGCACUGAAGGAUGCCGUUCAGCCCAUAGACUGAAGAAAUUUAGAUUUAGAUGAACCGUAACUUGUAUGUAUAUUUUUAGUCAUACACAUUUAUUUAUAUAUCAAACAUUAUAUGUAGCUCUUAUGCAUAGUGGAUAUUAAUUCUUCAGUGUAUUGUGUAUGUGUACUACUAUAUUACAGAGCAUCAACAACAUAAAUAUAUGAUUAUACUCGUGUUUGGAAAAUCAAACAUUAGGGAUUACCUUAUGUCACAGGAUCUGAAUCCAACAAGGUAUGACUUACUGAUAAUGCAUCUCUACAAACACAAAUAACGCCAGCGUUUUUCUAAACAAGCUCAGCCUUUGCAUGUGGCGGCAGCGACGAAACACAUGGUGCUCUUUCUGUUAUGCAAAUAUGAAAUGGAACCAGAGCACAAUAACAGCUUUAUAGUCUCACUGUACAUUUGCUCAGAACAUCUGAGAAUACCAGACUGCAUAAUUAACUGCCAAUGAAAUGUUCCCUCGAGUCAGUCUUCUGCUUUAUUAACAAAGUAAUGCAGUUAUUUUUAAUUGGCCGUUUCAUUGUAAACCAAAUUAGAUAAAAUGACACAGGCACAUUUCUGAAGAAUAGGAUAGUGUAAUGUCUUCUUCACUUUUGUAUUUAUAAUGACAUAUGGUCAUGACAAAUGCUAUUAUAUUUUACUUAUCAAAUGUAAAGAACAUGAUCUAAGAUAUACUCUGGGGUGGACUACAAGGUAUAAGCCUAUUAUUUCAGUUUAAGUGUAUGACCUGUUUAUUAUGGAGUUUGGUAUUAUGACGUGCUGUAUAUUAUGUAAAAAUAGGUGUUUAUUAUGAUGUGUAUUAUAAAAAUUUUGAUUUGUAUUAUGACAUAUCUGUGUCUGUACAGUAUAUAUGAUUAUGUCCAUAAAGUGUUGAUGAAAAUUCAAUAGUA